rnacentral:rRNA from 1 species
CCUACGGGAGGCAGCAGUGGGGAAUAUUGCACAAUGGGGGAAACCCUGAUGCAGCGACGCCGCGUGAGUGAAGAAGUAUUUCGGUACGUAAAGCUCUAUCAGCAGGGAAGAAAAUGACGGUACCUGACUAAGAAGCCCCGGCUAACUACGUGCCAGCAGCCGCGGUAAUACGUAGGGGGCAAGCGUUAUCCGGAUUUACUGGGUGUAAAGGGAGCGUAGACGGCAGCGCAAGUCUGGAGUGAAAUCCCAUGGCUUAACCAUGGAACUGCUUUGGAAACUGGGCAGCUAGAGUGCAGGAGAGGUAAGCGGAAUUCCUGGUGUAGCGGUGAAAUGCGUAGAUAUUAGGAGGAACACCAGGGGCGAAGGCGGCUUACUGGACUGUAACUGACGUUGAGGCUCGAAAGCGUGGGGAGCAAACAGGAUUAGAUACCCUAGUAGUC